GGGGAUGUAGCUCAGUGGUAGAGCGUUCGCUUUGCAUGCGAAAGGCCCUGGGUUCGAUACCCAGCAUCUCCA
rnacentral:tRNA from 2 species